rfam:Hoeflea olei strain JC234 contig_10, whole genome shotgun sequence.
CAGGCAUGCUGGAGCCCCGCAGCGGCGCCUGGGAUCCAUUGACCCGACACCGUUCUCAACUCCGGGGCUUAU